rnacentral:snRNA from 1 species
GUGCUCGCUUCAGCAGCACAUAUACUAAAAAAUUGGAAUGAUACAGAGAAGAUUAGUAUGGCCCCUGCACAAGGAUAACAUGCAAAUUUGUGAAGCGCUCCAUAUUAAA